AUGUCGUUAGAGGAUGCUGUCGGUGGCUCUGCCCUCAAGAUCUGUAGGAAGGUCAUCAACAAGCUCACCUCUAUGCUCAACCAUUGCCUCAAGGAUGAUAUCAACAAGUUCAACGUCAAAAAUGAGCUCAACAUUGUAGAGCGUUUACUACAUCAUGGUAGCAUUUAUGUUGAAGACGAUUCUUUAAUCCUUUCUGAGGUGAAAUACAAGCAUGUAGCCUACCUCCCUUAA
rnacentral:rRNA from 1 species